rnacentral:rRNA from 1 species
AUUGAACGCUGGCGGCAUGGCUAAAGCAUGCAAGUCGAACGGACCCGCAAGGGUCAGUGGCGAAAGGGUUAGUAACACGAUCGAACGUACCCUGAGGUGUGGGAUAGCCGCGGGAAACUGCGGGUAAUACCACAUGUGCUCUACGGAGGAAGGCCCCAACUUCGGUUGGAUGCGCCUCGGGAGCGGCGAUCGUCCUAUCAGGUAGUUGGCGGGGUAACGGCCCACCAAGCCGAAGACGGGUAGCGGGUGUGAGAGCACGGCCCGCAACAUCGGGACUGAGACACUGCCCGGACUCCUACGGGAGGCUGCAGCGACGAAUCUUCCGCAAUGGGCGAAAGCCUGACGGAGCAAUGCCGCGUGCGGGAUGAAGCGGCUACGCCGUGUAAACCGCUGUCAGGGGGCAGAAACACUGAUCGCCCCCAGAGGAAGAGACGGCUAACUCUGUGCCAGCAGCCGCGGUAAGACAGAGGUCUCGAGCGUUAAUCGGAUUUAUUGGGCUUAAAGCGUGCGUAGGCGGGCCGCUAAGCGUUUUGUGAAAGCCCCCGGCUCAACCGGGGAAUUGCGGGACGGACUGGCGGCCUUGAGGCAGGUAUGGGCGGACAGAACUGUCGGUGGAGCGGUGAAAUGCGUAGAGAUCGAC